GGAAAUACAUUUGACCAGAGCACGCCACGUAACCCCGUAACCCUACGCGCGCAUUAGUGUGUGCGGGCCAGGUGCACGAUAUUAGUGCGCGAGCGUCAAGUUUCCCUCAGGAGAAAAUUUCGUCGUUGGACCCAACAAAACCAGGAGAAAUACUGCAGUGGAAGAAAUAGGCACAUAUUUUUCGAGGUGAGUGCCACAGAAAUUAAUUGUUAUUAAUCAAAUAUUUCAUUGUUGCUUGCAAACGUUGUAACGUUACCGCGUUUUGUGACGAAGCCAGGCCAAACACUAACCUUAACUUACUGAGGUAAAAUCAACCUGCAAGUUAUUUAAUAUACUGUAAAUCCUGACUAAAAGGUUUGAAUGCGAGUGAAGCAUUUUGAAGAUGACAUCUAAUUACAUUUCUUUGGACGCAAUGCUGUUUCUAUGCUUGAUAUAAUAGACGAUAAAACAAAAUGAUACAUAUACUGAUAUCAACAUGCUCACAGAUGUUUUUGUGUGUUUGUUUUGUUUUUAGUGAUCAGACAUCUGCUGCAUGAUAAACCUGGAUGACAUAUACUCGAGUCUCUUCAAGAUGAUCAGCUCUAGGAGUGCUGUACCAACAUAUGAUCUUCAACUGAACUGACAUUCUCUGGUUGAUGCCGGAGAAGAUGAUCAAAGCAUCAAGGAACAUCUGAGAGUAAUUAAGGAAGAAACAGAGAAGCUUCGACCAAAUCUAGAGCUCAUCAAAGAAAAGAUGGCACUGGUGAAAUGCUACCAAAGAAAUUUUGUGUCCAACCACAGCACAGAGGAGACUCUCUCGGAGUUCCUGUGUUUCAGACUGGCCAAAAUACUUCUUUGGAUUAUGAGAGACCACACCACUGUUGAUGUGGACCAACAAAUUCUAACACAGCUUGCUGUAAUGGCACCUCAGGUCCUUCGAGUUUCACGAAGUCCCCUGAAAGAGAAGUUCAGGUGCAAAAUUGAGGACUGUGUAGAUGGCAGAAUGA